UAGGGAAUCUUCCACAAUGGACGCAAGUCUGAUGGAGCAACGCCGCGUGAGUGAAGAAGGUUUUCGGAUCGUAAAGCUCUGUUGUUGGUGAAGAAGGAUAGAGGCAGUAACUGGCCUUUAUUUGACGGUAAUCAACCAGAAAGUCACGGCUAACUACGUGCCAGCAGCCGCGGUAAUACGUAGGUGGCAAGCGUUGUCCGGAUUUAUUGGGCGUAAAGCGAGCGCAGGCGGAAGAAUAAGUCUGAUGUGAAAGCCCUCGGCUUAACCGAGGAAUUGCAUCGGAAACUGUUUUCUUGAGUGCAGAAGAGGAGAGUAGAACUCCAUGUGUAGCGGUGGAAUGCGUAGAUAUAUGGAAGAAUACCAGUGGCGAAGGCGGCUCUCUGGUCUGCAACUGACGCUGAGGCUCGAAAGCAUGGUAGCGAACAGGAUUAGAUACCCUGGUAGUCCAUGCCGUAAACGAUGAGUGCUAAGUGUUGGGAGGCUUCCGCCUCUCAGUGCUGCAGCUAACGCAUUAAGCACUCCGCCUGGGGAGUACGACCGCAAGGUUGAA
rnacentral:rRNA from 1 species